rnacentral:rRNA from 1 species
AUUCAGUCGGGCUUCCGUGGCAGUACAGACCGAUUGACCAGAACGGAUCCCAGAACUGGGCCGGGUCGGUCCGAAUGUUGCGGUUCUCGACGCAUUUUCUCUCGCUCUGUGGACGUCGCAGCCGGUUGGGAAGAGCYGGACGGACUGAAAGGUGGACGCUGGCAGGUGGCCGGUGGCGUGGCUUCGGCUGUGUCGUCGGUUGUUAGCCUGUUCGCCCGUGUCUCGUCCCCCGACCGAGGUUUUGUGGUCCGAAUGGACCCGUAUUUUGUGUCCGCCUCCUCCCUUUAGCAGGGAAGCCGGGACUAGAACUUUGAAGCAGGCGAUCGCCGAUGGUGCGGCCGCACUCUCUGACUGAGUGGGCCAGUGCUGUCGCGACGUCGAUCGCUGCAUCGUUCCCGUGGGAGUGCUGGCGGCUAGCGGCGAGUAGAUCGGUCACCCACCCGACCCGUCUUGAAACACGGACCAAGGAGUCUAACAUGUGCGCGAGUCAAUGGGUCUUGACCAGGCCCAGAGGCGCAAUGAAAGCAAAGGGCGGCAGAACGCCGUCUGAGUUGGGAUCCUGGGGCUUCCMGUGCCCUAGGAGCACCAACGACCCGUCCUGUCCGAUUUAUCUCGGUUGGGCGGAGUAUGAGCGUACACGUUGGGACCCGAAAGAUGGUGAACUAUGCCCGGGCAGGACGAGGCCAGAGGAAACUCUGGUGGAGGUCCGUAGCGGUUCUGACGUGCAAAU